rnacentral:lncRNA from 1 species
AUGGAGGAAUCCAAGGAUGCCAAAACUCGUCCCUUCAGCAGUGCCAGUUUUUGUCCCCACAUUCAACCAGAGGACAGGAGACUUCCCUUCGCAACAGAGGGAGGCUCACGGUGCUCUUCUUCUGCCACGCAACAUGGUAACUUGCCACAUGUCAACAGAAGGAGCAGCAGCAGCAGCCUGGCUCCAGGCCAUGCCAGGGUCUUCAUACUGAUCUCGAGGGACAAGAAAGUUGACUUCAGAUUCUUAAAUUCAUUUAUCUUUUAAAUAUUGUAUUGCAGACAGUUUUUUUCCAAGUACAAGAUGUUUCUUGAUACUUAUAAGAUCAUUCUCAACACAUAUAAGGUGUUUCUCAUCCAUAAAUGGUUCCUACAGGCUUGAUAGCUUUAACCAUGGUUUAUCCUCUCCCUGAAAAUGUACCAGUGCAGCGAGGCAGGGACCCACCACACGUGAGUGGUCAGGUGUGUGUUCAGAAAUCAGUUUGAAAUCAACCUGAAAUAUCGACAGCUGUUGAUAAACACAUUGAGUUACCUGUAUGAUAAAAAGAUACAGCUGGUACCUUUGACUUUCAGAAACUCAAAGGAAAUUCUGUUUUCAAAACAAACAAGGUUUUAGGUCAGACUUGACUUGUUGUAUAGACCCAGUUGCCCUGCUCCUGCAGGUAUAUGCUGUAUGGAAAUGGUUUUCUUUUUAAACAGGGACAAAGUUAAAAAUUGAG